rnacentral:piRNA from 1 species
UGAAGCAGCUGAGAUACCUACGAGAUG